GCUUACGGGGGGUUUGGGCAUUUCCAACAUCAAAUGGGGUGGGCAUGAUCGAAUCCGGUCCAGCCCAUCGAGGGCUCCAAAAAUGCCAGCUCGCGCCACGUCGCACUGUCCAGUCUUCACUUCCCACUCUCUUCUCAUGGCAGGGAGUAGGGGCUAGGGCUUCCGAGGAGCCCGACAAGGACAAGAAAAAGGUCCAAUUUCAUGCAGAUCGCGGAAAAAGGUUUAUUUUGGCAGAAAUCAGGGCUCUUUCAUCAGAAUUCUAGGGCUUGUAAUUCCGCACGAAUCUCACCUUUACGGCCUCUUUCUUCUCCCAUUUGUUGAAUUCAGAGUCUAGAAGAGCUCAGCAACAUCAAUAUGAGCGAGGCGAAGGACACCGAGAAUCACACGCAGGUGCAUUUUAGCAACAACCCCGAUACCAUCGACCUUCCUCCCGAACCCGGCCCAACCAACCAGUCUGGCGGCUCCGAAAGCAAGAACAACGACAAGGAUACGGCCCGCCACGGCGAGAUGCCGGAUGCGGAGCCCGAGACGGAGAAUGGGGCGGGAGAGGUUCGGUACGAAAAGAAUCUCGAUGAGGAUGUGCCGCCGUUGCUGUCGAAUCAGGAGGCCAUUGGCCUGAUAGGCAACACAGGUAGCUCGAGCAGGUCUUUCCCGUGGGACCCGCAGUCGAACGAGGGCGACGAUUCAGGGACGGAUGAGGAACAGGCCACGUUCAUGAAGGAGCUGGAGAGUUUCUUUAGAGGGAGGGGCAUGGAGUUCAAGCCACCGAAGUUCUACGGGGAAGGAUUGAAUUGCCUCAAGUUGUGGAGAGCUGUGAUUAGAUUGGGCGGUUAUGACACGGUGACCUCGUGCAAGUUGUGGCGUCAAGUUGGAGAAUCUUUCAAUCCACCAAGGACUUGCACUACUGUCUCUUGGUCAUUCCGAUGUUUCUAUGAGAAGGCGCUCCUUGAUUAUGAAAGACAUAAAGUGCAUGGUGGUGAGCUCCAUGUGCAUGUUGCUUCCCCCGUGGAGCCAAUGGGUGUUGAAAAUCAGGUGGGGAGAAGUCAAGCUUUUGGACCAGUUAGGGUUAGAAGGGAUGCUGCAGCUCGUGCUAUGCAAGGUUGGCACUCUCAACGUCUUCUUAGCAAUGGUUAUGUUGGCGACUCACCUAUAAAGGAUAAGAGCCCAGUUUAUGUGCCAAAGCGCGAGAAGCAACUCAAAAGCCUCGGUGUACUCAAACGGAAAGAGCCAUCAAGCAUGGAGCAUGGUUACGAAGCUGCAUGCAUUAUAGGAUUGAACCAGCAUGUGGAUGCAAUGGUUGUUGAUAUUGGACCCUCCGCUGAUUGGGUGAAAAUCAAUGUGCGGAGAACUAAAGAUUGCUUUGAGAUCUAUGCAUUGGUGCCUGGGCUUCUGCGUGAGGAGGUGCGUGUUCAGUCUGAUCCGGCUGGCCGCUUGGUUAUAUCUGGCGAGCCAGAGCAUCCCGAUAAUCCAUGGGGAGUCACCCCCUUCAAAAAGGUAGUCAGCUUGCCUUCAAGAAUUGAUCCGCAACAGACUUCUGCAGUGGUCACCCUGCAUGGUCAAUUGUUUGUGCGUGCGCCUUUUGAGCAGUCUGCUUGGUAGCACAUGGGACUUAGCAAUCAAACUGCAGGUUUUGAUUUUUUUUAGUCCACGUCAACCAUUCGGGGCUUUCAAGUGUGAUGCCGUUCGUUAAUGCCACCAAGUUGCUGUGGGGCUUUUCUUCGGUUUAUGCACUCAAUUCAGCUCUUUGCAUUACUUGCUCUACAAACUAUGCUGGAGUUGUGCUCCAUCUGAAACCUGGUACAUACUAUUUGACUGCUGAAAAAAAAAAGAAAAAAGAAAAGAAAAGAAAA